rnacentral:rRNA from 1 species
AUUGAACGCUGGCGGCAUGCUUUACACAUGCAAGUCGAACGGUAACAGGGUGCUUGCACCGCUGACGAGUGGCGAACGGGUGAGUAAUGCGUCGGAACGUGCCGAGUAGUGGGGGAUAACGCAGCGAAAGUUGUGCUAAUACCGCAUACGUACUGAGGUAGAAAGUGGGGGACCUUCGGGCCUCACGCUAUUCGAGCGGCCGACGUCUGAUUAGCUAGUAGGUGAGGUAAAGGCUCACCUAGGCGACGAUCAGUAGCGGGUCUGAGAGGAUGAGCCGCCACACUGGGACUGAGGCACGGCCCAGACUCCGACGGGAGGGAGGAGGGGGGAAUUUUGGACCAUGGGCGAAAGCCGGUGCCUGCCAUGCCGCGUGUCUGAAGAAGGCCUUCGGGUUGUAAAGGACUUUUGUCGGGGAGGAAAUCCCAAGCGUUAAUACCGCUGGGGGAUGACAGUACCUGAAGAAUAAGCACCGGCUAGCUACGUGCCAGCAGCCGCCGUAACAC